GACGAACGCUGGCGGCGUGCUUAACACAUGCAAGUCGCACGGGGUAGCAAUACCCAGUGGCGAACGGGUGCGUAACACGUGAGGAACAUACCUUUUGGGUGGGGGAUAGCCGGCCCAACGGCCGGGUAAUACCGCGUACGCCCUUCGGGUGGCAUCACCUGAUGGGGAAAGCAGCAAUGCGCCAAUUGAGUGCCUCGCGGCCUAUCAGCUAGUUGGUGAGGUAACGGCUCACCAAGGCGACGACGGGUAGCUGGUCUGAGAGGAUGAUCAGCCACAUUGGGGACUGAGACACGGCCCAGACUCCUACGGGGAGGCAGCAGUGGGGAAUCUUGCGCAAUGGCCGAAAGGCUGACGCAGCGACGCCGCGUGUGGGAUGACGGCCUCGGUUGUAAACCACUGUCGGGAGGGACGAAGCUCUGACGGUACCUCCAAAGGAAGCACCGGCUAACUCUGUGCCAGCAGCCGCGGUAAUACAGAGGGUGCGAGCGUUGUCCGGAAUCACUGGGCGU
rnacentral:rRNA from 1 species